UGGGGAAUUUUGCGCAAUGGGGGAAACCCUGACGCAGCAACGCCGCGUGGAGGAUGAAGUCCUUCGGGACGUAAACUCCUUUCGAUCGGGACGAUUAUGACGGUACCGGAAGAAGAAGCCCCGGCUAACUUCGUGCCAGCAGCCGCGGUAAUACGAGGGGGGCGAGCGUUGUUCGGAAUUAUUGGGCGUAAAGGGUGCGUAGGCGGUUUGGUAAGUCUUGUGUGAAAUCUCCAGGCUCAACUUGGAGUCUGCACGAGAAACUGCCGGGCUUGAGUGUGGGAGAGGUGAGUGGAAUUCCUGGUGUAGCGGUGAAAUGCGUAGAUAUCAGGAGGAACACCUGUGGCGAAAGCGGCUCACUGGACCACAACUGACGCCGAUGCACGAAAGCUAGGGGAGCAAACAGGAUUAGAUACCCUGGUAGUCCUAGCCCUAAACGAUGACUGCUUGGUGUGACGGGUACCCAAUCCCGCCGUGCCGUAGCUAACGCGUUAAGCAGUCCGCCUGGGGAGUACGGUCGCAAGGCUGA
rnacentral:rRNA from 1 species